UACCUCACUGGGGACAGGACUCCACAUGUGUGUGGAGGGCUUACUGUAGCAAGUUUGCUGGAAGAAAACAGCUUCUUCUUGUUAAUGUCAGGAGGUGGUCAAAGAGGGGUUGAUUCCAUCUGCAUUUGAAGUUCUAUAUCACCUCAUCCUUGCUUUGGUGAGACUGGUCAAUCCUGCUCUCUCAGCUUACGUUCACAGAGGCUUCUUUGGUAUUACAGAGAUCUGUAUACUUCUGUAGAAAUAUACCCCUGGGAAAAGGCUGCAAAGAUCCUGGCCACCAUGUUUACCUUCAACACCAAAAACUUGCUUCAGAAGGAGAAGACACAGAGUGUUAUGCUGGUUCCCAAAAUGAAGAGGAAGGUGCAUAGGAAUGGAGACUGAUUUAACCUCUGCUGCACAGAGGAGAGGAGGGAUCUGGUGGAUGUCUGACAAAUGUCACUGACAAGAUUCAGGAAUCAACACGUUUGGGAAUGUUCGUAAAAGCUCGGGACCUCUUAACGGUGAAGAUCUCAUUGAGGGAGGUUUUUCAGCAAUGGAAAAAAACCAUAGGCCUUUUUGGUGGAAGUGGCAUAAAGGGAGGAAAGAGAGACUGAUACACUGUGUCAUGAAAAAAACAGGCAGAGUAGGAGUGCCUUUGCAGUCACCCAUCGUCCAUGGAGUCCGCUGGACAAACGAGGUUUGGUGUUAGAAGCACUGACUUGCAUAUUCCUUCAGUAAAACAGCACUGUAGUUUUCCUGUAACUAUCAACCAUGCUUCUUGUAGCUGUCUUUUUUAUUUCCUCUUCUAUGGAUGAUGAAGAUCUAAGUAGUGACAUUGUGAUAGGUCACUCUCAGCAGAAGUCACUAACCAAGUAAAGUAUGAAACUAACGCCACACUGGUAGAGAAGCUUUUAGCAGCAGCAUCUAAAGCAAUGUGCUGCUAACUGACAGCCUCCACUUUGACAAGGAGAGCAGUGGGCGGACACACAAAGCUGUGUGUAUGCGAGUACAUGCACACGUGCACAUAAAUGUUAUUCAGGAUAGGUGUUUCCAGUUGCUCUUUGGCUGCAACACCCCCUCACUGGUGAUCUAUGCAGCAGCGCUGGCACAGGCUCUGUAGGCUAUGAGUGCACAGUGCCAGGUGAAGACAUUGCACCAGAGCACCAACCAAGACAACGUGCGGAGGAGGUGUUUAUGUGGGAAGGAUGAAGCUUGCUUUUUGAUUGGGUCAGUUCUGGUGGUUGAUGUUUGGAGUGUGCAGGAAAGCUGGGUGCUUCAGUGCCAGCAGUGACUUCAGCUCUCUGAAAGAGUUCAGUGUUCACAGUCCUGAGUUCCCUGUCCAUGAAGGAUGCUUUUUGGGGUAGCCAUGCUCAAACAGGAACCACUGACUGGCCAUUGCAGAGUCGCUCACAGGUGCUGCUUUCCAGGGACACUAUUCCUGGACAUUCCAAAGCAGUGCUGGCACCAAAACCAAUCUGUACCAGUAUUUGCAUUCUGGAUCAUCCUUGUGGCCUGGUCUUUUUGACAUGUUUUUCCUUGCCAAAUAGAUUUCAGUGGGAGCCCAACUUACACUGCAGUCUGAUCACAAGCAACGUCUCCUGGGUACAUGAGGGGAUACAUAUCUCAAAAAUAUUUUUUUCCUGAAUAUUUUUAAUGGUUUCAUGGAUCGAAACAUGUGCAGUUGCAUCUUUUAUACAAAGAAUGUAUAAUACAGCAAAAUGGAAUAAUUUAUCCCCAGAAGCACAAGUGAGGCCCUGUGAAUCAUGAAAGCCACAAUAAGUAUUCAGAGCUUAACCUUAUGCGUAGACUGAGUGAAAUGUUCUAUGCCUUCCAUUUGAUAAAUUAUACAUAUACCUUAUGUAUAUAAAUAUACAUUUCCUGCAUACUACGUUUCUGCAGAUAUUUCUUGUUUGUAAUUGAGUAUAUUAAACAAAGGCAACAUAAAAAAUGAAGACAGAAUCGGCACUGUAUAUUGUAGAAGGUGCUUGCUGAUGUUAAGCAAUUUUGAAAUAAAAACAGUAGCCUGGGUUCAUAAGACAACAGUUUUCUGUAACGAUUAAGCAAGCGCAGUAUACAGAAGUAACGCAAAAGAUAGAUCUGUCAGAAAAUCACAGGGCUGAAAAUCAAACUCUAUACUUGGCACAGGCAGGUACUUUCAGAAUCAGAGGAUCAUUAAGGUUGGAAAAGACCUUUAAGAUCAUCCAGUCUGACCCCAGCCCACCCUACCUUGACCACUAACCCACAUCCCUCAGUGCCACAUCUGCACAAGAACAGUGACUCUACCGCCUCUCUGGGCAGCCUGUGCCAGUGCCUCACCACUCUUUCAGAGAGUAAUUUUUUCCUGUUAUCUAAUCUGAGCUUCCCCUUGUGCAAGGUAAGGACACUAUGGCCCUGGGCAGGUCAUCUCCUUGUCUCCCUCAUGCUAGCCCUCAUAGACAGAGGGCUCAGACAAGAGGAUUAGGAUCUGCUUUUCAGUCCUGCCUCCCAGCCCUGCUUCUCCCAGAAGAAAGCCCCUUCCCUGAGCACCCUAUGUGGAAAAGCCUUCUUCAUCUUUCUCCUGACUGAGCUCUCUCAGUUGAAACAGUUGUAGAUUCAGAGACAAGGGGAGGAAGAGACUGUUCUCUCAUACUUAGAGGGAUACAAGGUCAAAUCCCUGUGCCAAGGGUGAUGGUUUAGCCAAGGACUGUUUAAUGUAAAACACAAACAGAAUUUGCAAAGCAGGAUGUGAAAACCAGGAUGAGUAACCUAUCAGAUCACCUGGAGUAAUGUUUUCUCUUCCAGCCCAAUGAUUUAUUAAUGAUUACAUAUAAAUUAAACAGGAAAAGGUGCAGGAGCACACCCUAAGCUAGAAAAAUCUAUUUGGUAAAUAGCUGGUCCACAUGACAUCUUCCAGGCACAUGAAAGAAUUAAACCAUCUCUCCCAUCUGCUCAGGAAUGGUCUUGGGGUCACACCAGUGUAUUUUGUUACAAGAAUGAGAAGUCCAUGGCCAUUUGACCAUCAUCUCAAGAAAGAUGAUAUAUGGUACCUUUGAAUCAUAACCUGAAUCACUGAUUGAUCACCUGAGGUGAGGACUGAGUCAACCCUGGGAGCACAGGUGAAGGCAAUUCCUAGACCC